rnacentral:lncRNA from 1 species
AAAGGUAAAUUUUUCUGGAGAGUUUCUGCCAGAGCUAUUAAGCCUUUCUUGAAUCAAUGAAAAAAGAAAUUCUUCAUUUGAAUUUGUUGGCGUCGGUUCUCUGGUAAUUCAGCACUUAGCCCAGUCACCCAGAAGAUCUCUCUCUCUCACACAUACACACACACACCAAUACUUGAAUACACACAUGCACACCCAACCCACACACAUAAGCAGACACACACCCUAACUAUCAUCUAUAAGCCUCAGUGUACUCAGGUGGAAAAUGGAGGCAAUUUCAGUCCCUACCUUCCACAAAGCUGUGAGAGAUUCCAUGUAAUAAUACAUUCCUGUAUGUCCUUGGCAAGUUUGCCAACCUUCCCAUUAAGGAAUCUCUUCGGAUUACGUUUUAGUUCGAAAUCUUAAAUGCUGAUUCGGGGACAUGUCACACAAGUUGUUAGAGAAAGCGUUGGUUUUAUUAUUCAAAGAAUAUUGAGUUUUGGAAAUGACACAUAGACACAAAUGACACAAAUGACAAUUGACCAACUAGUUUGCCUUGCAUUUUUUUUUUUUUUUUUUUUGAGACGGACUUUUUCACUCCUGUUGCCCAGGCUGGAGUGCAAUGGCACUAUCUCAGCUCACUGCAACCUCCGCCUCCCUGGUUCAAGCGAUUCUCUUGCCUCAGCCUCCCGAGUAGCUGGGAUUACAGGCAUGCGCCACCACACGCGGCCAAUUUUGUAUUUUUAGUAAAGACGGGGUUUCUCCACGCUGGUCAGGCUGGUCUCGAACUCCUGACCCCAGGCGAUCCGCCCGCCUCAGCCUCCCAAAGUUCUGGGACUACAGGCAUCCUGCAGUAAAACAUGGAACUCACUUUCUUCCCAAAAUGGGGAAGUGCCAUGAGCCACUGCAUCCUGCUGUCACGGAGGUUCUAUGUUCUAGAUUCUGUCCUGGUGUUCAUUCGAGUUCAGUCAUAAUCCUCCCUUGAUAUCUUAUAACCCGUAGACCUAAUUAUAAAGUCACAUCUUAUAUAAAACACAUCCAAUAUAAAAUGUUAAGGGAAACGGGGAGGACAAAUAUAAAUUGACUAGGAUAGAGAAAAGAAGGAAAACAAUGCUAUUACAGUCCUCAUUUUUCCAAGGCUUGUGAGUCUGAGGUUGGACUGUUGAGCAUCCUUGCUUUAUCCUGGCAUGUAUUUCCUUUCACCAUAUCCGGCGCCUCUGCUGGUUAGUGCUCUUUAUCUAGUGGAGCAAUCUAAGUCUUUUUUCCUGAGAGGUCCUAUUUCUGUGUGGUCUUUCUUGUAUUGAGAUGCUGUAGUCUUCCACCAACUCUGUGAUUGGACAUACAGCCUUGCCUAUGAUUUUCCUUGAGGGGUUCUGCAGUGGCAUAUUCUGGCAGUGGUAUGUUCAGUCUUACAUUUUUAAAAUAAGACCUAACAUUUUAAAAUAAGACACCAUCGUAUCCUGAUUGGCUAUGGAUGCUUCCAGCACUAUUAGAUCUGUUACGGAUCCAAGUGGUGGUAAAGCUGCUUGCACAUGGCCUGAAAUUUUUGUUUUUGUUUUUUAAGACAGUCUCUCUCUGUCACCCAGGCUGGAGUGGCACAGUGGUGCAACCAUACCUCACUGCAGCCUUCAACUCCUGGGGCUCAAGAAAUCCUCUUGCCUCAGCAUCCUGAGAAGCUAGGACUAUAGGUGUAUGCCACCAUGCACCCAGCUAAUUAAAAAAAAUUUUUUUUGAGACAGAGUCAUGGUUUUUUUUUGCCCAGGCUUGUCUUGAACUUCUGGGUUCAAGCGAUCCUACUGCCUUGGCCCUCACAAAGUGCUGGGAUUAUAGGCAUGAGCUACCAUGCCUGGCCUGCCCUGGGAUUUUCUCAAAGCUGGCAGACUAAUGGGUUAUUCAGAAUAUGGGUCAGAGCUGCACACACACCCACAUACACACACACACACACACACACACACACACAGUACAUAUUGGUUCCCCAAUCCAGAGUCGUAUCAAGUGCUAUAGCUCUUUAUUAGCAGUAGGGGGUGCAAGAUUCAGAGAGAUAUCCCAUCGCUCACCAGAUCACUGGGCACAGCAAUUCUGCUGAGAGAGCAGGUUCUUGAAUUCUUGUGACACAACAUUCCACUCUUUGGCACACAUGUAGGCACAUAAUGUACUUGUUUCCGCUCACUAGGUGCAAUAAGAAUCGUAUUACUAAUGUGGUGUCCUCUGGAAUGGUCACAUGAACACAGUUCCCUGCAGAUGUAAUUGGGAGAGAAGGCACAGUCCUGACACAGGGUAAGACUGUGGAGGUGUAUUGCUGUCCCUACCAGGUAAAAUAAUAUUGCUUCUGGUGGUUUUAUUGGGAAAGAGACAACACAUUUACCAAACUGAUAGCUGCAUAUUGGGUGCUGGGGGCUGUGUUGAUUUGCUACAGUCAUAAAACUAUGUCUAGAACAAAAGCUGCAAUGGAAGCCAUCUAUUGACUAAAUUAACAGUGAACCCUUAUUAUCCUCCAACAGCCAUAUGUGUUCUACAUAGGUGAAGCAGGGGAGUUAAGUGGCCGUAAUAGGAAAUGUCAUCUCUACAUCUUUUUUGUUUGUUUGUUUUGUUUUUUUUUUUAGACAGAGUCUUACUCUGUCGCCCAGGCUGGGGGGCAGUGGCGUGAUCUUGGCUCACUACAAGCUCUGCCUCCUGGGUUCAUCCCAUUCUCCUCCUCAGCCUCCCGAGUAGCUGGAACUACAAGUGCCCGCCACCAAGCCCGGCUAAUUUUUUGUAUUUUUAGUAGAGACAGGGUUUCACUGUGUUAGCCAGGAUGGUCUUGAUCUCCUGACCUCAUGAUCCACCUGCCUCGGCCUCCCAAAGUGCUGGGAUUACAGGCAUGAGCCACCACGCCCGGCCAUCUCUACAUCUUUCAAGUCUUUGGCAGUUCAUUCAGGGAUGUGAUGUUGCUUUUGAUAACUCUUGAUAGGAAGAAGUGGUUCCAGGGUUUUCCACUUGCUCCUUCUUACCUAAAUAGUCCUCACUUCCUGGGCCAGGGAUGAGUGUGGGGAUUCUGUAGCUGGGUGUUUCUGCAUACAUUCAUAGAGUUUCUGCAUAGAGAGUGCUCUGCAUUCAGAAACCCAGGAAAUGCUACAGGAUAAGUUUAUAGACCUACAAGGUACAUCAUGAGAAGCACGUGAGCCAAAACUCCACUUAUCACUUGACUCCUAUAACCCCAACUCUGAAAGCAGAGUUCAAGCAACUGUUGCGUCACCUCUUGCUACAGAGCACCAGGGUCCCACCUUCUGAUGUGAAUGAGACCUCCUGUGCUUCAAGCCCAGCCAAGUCAGAUAACUUAGUGGUCUUCAAAUUUUUUUCUGCAUACACUCCUGAAGACAAUUUAGAAAAAAUUUAGAAAAAUAAUGUACCCUUCACCCACUUUUUUUUUUUCUGAGAUGGAGUCUCACUUUGUUGCCAGGAUAGAGUGCAGUGGCAGGAUCUUGGCUUACUGCAACCUCUGCCUCCUGGGUUCGAGCAAUUCCCCUGCCUCAGCCUCCCAAGUAGCUGGGACUACAGGCAUGCGCCACCACUCCUGGCUAAUUUUUGUAUUUUUAGUAGAGACAGCGUUUCACCAUGUUGGCCAGGAUGAUCUCAAUCUCCUGACCUCACCUUCACCCACUUUUUAACUUGACAUCUCACCUUUUCCUGAUAAGUGUAAAUAGUUGAAAUGGAUCACAGAACAUUAGAAGUUUAAAAAAAGCUAACAUGACAAAACCUAAGAAAGAGAUCUUUUUAUUGAAGAUCUGCCUGAUUCAUCUCUAUUAUGUUUUUACGUAGACUGGCUUCUGGUUGUGUACAUUUCCAACCUUAUUUCUUCUCUACUGUCCACACAUUCAUGGUGCUGGUCACCACAGAAAAUGAAUAUCACAGCAUGACUUCUGGUCCUCAGGACCGUGGGCAGAGGGAGUAUUUCUAGAAAUCAUUUUUACACUAGAGGGGCUAGCAAUAACAUAAUCAUAUGUGGAAGUUACUGCACCAGUAAAUACAUCCUCUGAAACCCCAACUAACUUGUUUAUCCCAAUUCAAUUAGUGGACUUUCAAAAGCACCCAUGGCCACUGCAAUGCCACCACACAUGGGGAGAAGAAAGACAAAGGGGAGUGUAAAAAGAGGUAUUAAUCCUUAAGGUUGAAAGGUCUUACUCUUGUAAAUUUUACUAAAAUAUGUGACCCAGAAGAGCCAUUUCUAGGCCUUGGGGGUGGCCUGUGCUAGUGAAAGCCUCUGAAGAUUGGGGUUUGUUAGCUACGGGGUGAAUCUACCGCUGCACUGUCAAUAGGGACAUUAUGAUAAAAAUGUCAUGUAACUUUGUGAAAAGUAUCCAUGGAGCCUAAACACUAUAAUGACAUGCUAUCCAUCAUCAUUUACUUUGAAAUAUUUGAACAAUCUCUUUAAUUUUCGAAAAUUUUUCAAAAUUUUGAAAAUUUGUCUUUUUACUCUUGAACAUAUAAAGUUCCAUUUCACUUUCUUCUUAGGAUUCCUUCAUAAUGUAAUGUGUGUGUGUGUGUGUGUGUAUGUAUAUAUAUAUUUUUAGACAGGGUCUCACUCUGUUGCUCCAGCUGAAGUACGUAGUGCAAUCACAGCUCACUGCAGCUUUGAACUCCUGGGCUUAAGCCAUCCUCCCACCUCAGCCUCCUGACCAGCUGGGGUUACAGACAUGUGCCACCACACCCAGCUAAUUGCUUUUUCAUUUCUUUUGUAGAGAUAGAGGGUCUCACUGUGUUUCCCACGCUGGUCUCGAACUCCUGGUCUCAAACAGUCCUCCCAUCUCAGCCUCCCAAAGUGCUGUGAUUAUAGGUGUGAGCCACUGUGCCCAGCCUAAUGUAUAUUUUUAACAGCUUUAUUAAGAUAUAAUUUAUCUAUUGUACAAUUCACAUAAGUAAAGUGUGCUAUUGAAUGGCUUUUAAUAUAUUCACAGACUUUUACAUCGUGACCACAAUAUAUGUUAGAACAUUUUUAUUUCAAAAGAAGCCCUACACCCCUCAGCUAUCACCCCGGCAAUUGUUCCAUCUCCCUCAACCCCACCCAGUUCUAGGUCACCAUUAAUUCACUUUCUGUCUCUAUGGAGUUGCUCACUCCAAGCAUUUAUAUGUAAAUGGAAUCAUGCAGUAUGCUAUCCUUUGAGACUGGCUUCCUUCAGUUACAAGGUUCAUCCUAUACUUACGCUUGAAACAUUUAUUAAUCACCCUUUUCUGCAACCAAAAAUGUAUGUGAAUCGAAAUUGUAAAGUGUUCUUUAUUUCCUGCCACCAAAAGACUUUAGGAAUUUAAAGUAUUUUCUGGGUCAUGAUUACAAUGGUUGUUAUCAUGCAACUUAUGAAAACAACAUAAAUGUUAUAAACGUUGCUAAAAAAAUUGUGUUAAUUCAAAGAGUGAAAUUUUAUUGGAAAUGUCUCACUUACAUGAUGAGUUUUUAAAAUUUUCUCUGUCUUUCUCUCUCUCGGGAUCUCACUUUGCUGCCCAGCCUGGAGUGCAGUAGUGUAAUCUCGGCUCACUGCAGCCUCAAACUUCUGGGCUCGAGCGAUCCUCUCACCUCAGCCUCCUGAGUAGCUGGGACUACAGGUGCGUGCCACCAUGUCUAGGUAAUUUUUAAAGUUUUUUUGUAGAGAUGAGGCCUCCCUAUGUUGCCCAGGCUGGUCUCAAACUCCUGGGGUCAGGAGAUGCUCCCAAAGUGCUGGGAUUACAGGCAUGAGCUACUACGCCCAGCUGGAAUUUCCUUAUUUUAAAAAUGUAUGACUGAAUCUACCACCGCCAGAAUCUACCACUGCCAGAUGGUUCUGCCUGGAUUCUUUUCCUACUUUUUGUGCUUCGUAGGUAUAAUUGCUGGAAAGCCUGAUCACAAAAUUAAGCUGAUGGGAAUGGAAAAGGUUUCUUAUAGAAAUAUCAGUCAAUUCUCCCAAUUCUUUCCUCUUUCUCUUCCCCCAAAUCACCUAGCAUUCCUUACCCAGGUCCCCACAGGACUCCUCCUGCAGAACGAUGCCUCCUUUGACGGUAGAUAGAUACGUCAGAGAUGAGGUCGUUACUCAGCGCUUGUC